rnacentral:rRNA from 1 species
AGAAUCAACGCUGGCGGCGUGCCUAACACAUGCAAGUCGCACGAGAAAGGGGAGCAAUCCCUGAGUAAAGUGGCGCACGGGUGAGUAACACGUGAAUAAUCUACCUCCGAGUGGGGAAUAACUGAGAGAAAUCUUAGCUAAUACCGCAUAACACUUACGAGUCAAAGCAGCAAUGCGCUUGGAGAGGAGUUCGCGGCCGAUUAGUUAGUUGGCGGGGUAAUGGCCCACCAAGACGAUGAUCGGUAUCCGGCCUGAGAGGGCGCACGGACACACUGGAACUGAAACACGGUCCAGACUCCUACGGGAGGCAGCAGUGGGGAAUUUUGCGCAAUGGGGAACCCUGACGCAGCAACGCCGCGUGGAGGAUGAAGCCCUUGGGUGUAAACUCCUUUCGAUCGGGAAGAUAAUGACGGUACCGAUAUAAGAAGCCCCGGCUAACUUCGCGCCAGCAGCCGC